CAGACGUGUUCUCUUCCUCUCCUGUUAAAGUCCCGAGACAGACUGUUUUCAUAAGAAUGUUGGUUGACGCAGCAACCUUAUUCUUUUGAAAGACAUAAGAGGUUUAUAAACGUCUUUUAUCUAUGAUGACUACUAGAUCAUUAAAAAGGGGACAAAACGGGUGAUUUCACCCUUU